rnacentral:rRNA from 1 species
AGUGAACGCUGGCGGUAGGCCUAACACAUGCAAGCCGAACGGCAGCACAGUAAGAGCUUGCUCUUACGGGUGGCGAGUGGCGGACGGGUGAGGAAUACAUCGGAAUCUACUUUUUCGUGGGGGAUAACGUAGGGAAACUUACGCUAAUACCGCAUACGACCUACGGGUGAAAGCAGGGGAUCUUCGGACCUUGCGCGAUUGAACGAGCCGAUGUCGGAUUAGCUAGUUGGCGGGGUAAAGGCCCACCAAGGCGACGAUCCGUAGCUGGUCUGAGAGGAUGAUCAGCCACACUGGAACUGAGACACGGUCCAGACUCCUACGGGAGGCAGCAGUGGGGAAUAUUGGACAAUGGGCGCAAGCCUGAUCCAGCCAUACCGCGUGGGUGAAGAAGGCCUUCGGGUUGUAAAGCCCUUUUGUUGGGAAAGAAAAGCAGCAGGUUAAUACCCCGCUGUUCUGACGGUACCCAAAGAAUAAGCACCGGCUAACUUCGUG